CUGAGCUGGUGAUGAUGUUAAGUUAUCCCUGUCUGAAAAAGAAACCUUCCUUUGUGGAAUUCUGAUUCUCUGAGGCUCAG
rnacentral:snoRNA from 1 species